AUUGAACGCUGGCGGCAGGCCUAACACAUGCCAGUCGAGCGAGCGGCGGACGGGUGAGUAAUGCCUAGGAAUCUGCCUGGUAGUGGGGGAUAACGUCCGGAAACGGGCGCUAAUACCGCAUACCAUCAGAUGUGCCCAGAUGGGAUUAGCUUGUUGGUGGGUUAACGGCUCACCAAGGCGACGAUCCCUAGCUGGUCUGAGAGGAUAACCAGCCACACGGGAACGGAGACACGGUCCAGACUCCUACGGGAGGAAGCAGGGGGGAAUAUGGCACAAUGGGCGCAAGCAUGAUGCAGCCAUGCCGCGUGUAUGAAGAAGGCCUGCGGGUGGGAAAGUACUUUCAGCGGGGAGGCGUUACCCGCAGAAGAAGCACCGGCUAACUCCGUGCCAGCAGCCGCGGUAAUUC
rnacentral:rRNA from 1 species